rnacentral:lncRNA from 1 species
CACUUAUCAGAUACGGCACGCUCUUUAUCUAAUGGCGCCAGAAUUUCAGUGUUCCAUGUGCGUCGACGAGUAUUUUCUCAAAUAUAAUCGGUCAUAACGUCAGAAAUUUCGGGUAGAUAACAUGUCAGCCUAGAGUUGUUAAUCCAAUGUGUUAAUUUCUUGAUACUCCGAAGUGUUGUCAUUCAUUAAAACGAUCGGAGCAAGCAAAUAAAGAAGACCUGGGUAAAAACGAUAUCAUGCGGUUUGUAAAAUCCCACGGAUAACCACACGGUAUUCGUUGAUGUCCGGACGCGGCUGUGAGAUCGCAGAUUUCGUUCCAACAUAUUCUGGGUGUAGUUAUUGAUGAAUUGGACCAAUGAGUUGUAGCUCACAUCUUGCUCCAGGAUAUAUUGGCUUUCUUGCUGAAAUUCAUGAGAAGGUUGCAGUGGACGGGAAACAACCCCUGCGAUAUACAUAGUUUGCAUCGACGGUGUACCGCGUGUAGCUUCGGUUAUCCCCAUAGGAGGAAGGUGGACAGAGUAUGAGAUUGGCGUUUGGAUCCAACGUGGUCCGACGGCUCGGGAGGACGCUAAGCAGCGAAAGGGAACCGAGGAUAUCUUGGUAGUUUUAUUUGUCGUUGGCUAAAACAUUGUCCCGUUGAAGGACCACGAGGGACCGCGCGAUGGGAGUUGGAAAGGAUCGCGGAGGGAGCGGAGGAACGGGGCCGCGGUGAAACCUGACUCGCGUUUUCAGUUGGGGUACGGGCGGCGUUUCAUUUAUUCAAAGUAAUCUCUUGCGCGCGAGUCCAGUUUCAAGAAUUUACUCGAAAAACCGAAAGGCUGAGGGGCUUAAAGGAGCUCCAGAAAAGAUAUUCAUCUGAUUCUUCAAUUACUUUCAACUCUCCGGGCAUUCUCUCCCAGCCCUGUCCAAAAACGUUCACAUUUCGAUCAUAUGUAUAGUAUAUAUGUACGUGUGGAUGUUCAAUAAUUGAGAAAAUAAAGCCAUGAUAUGA